UCGAGUUCUGAGGGGGGGGGGGAGGGAAGAGGGGAAUGUUGGGACUGUCGCUGGUCCUCCUUCGAAGUGGAGGGGGGCAUGUGCACGUCUGCUUCGCCUGAUUCCUUUCUCUCUUUCUCUGUUCCACCUUACACCUGUGCACUCGUAGUAGGUCCUCGAAAGAGGACCUAUGUGUUUUCUUUCUGCGUCACGCGCCCGUCGUAUGUCUAUAGAAUGUGUCGGAAAUGAAAUCAUA
rnacentral:misc_RNA from 1 species